AGCGAGCUUGAGCGAAUUUCCAUUCGUGCUCAUCAUAAGAUAUGAAACUAAAAUUCAGAUUGUUAACGAUCGGGUCGUUGAGUCGUAUCAUUCGAACAAUCAAAGAAUAUUUCGCUUCCAUUUUAUUUCGAAUAAUAUAUAUAUAUAUUUGUAUUUGGUUUAACAAUUCUGCAUUCUCCACCGAGUGUAGUUAACGAGUCGGACAUCUUCCGAAGUUGACCGACACGGAAAAGCGCCACGUGUUGUAUAAAACUCCAAAAUGAAAAGCUACUGGCUAAAACAGUGGAAAGUAUUCCCGUUACAUCGUUAUUCCCCCAGCGUUCCCAGCCAACGAAAUACUUGUUUACAAAUAUGCAACGUUGAGAAGAGCAGCCCCAUUGGUCCCCCGUGGUGCGGCGAUUCUACUAUCUCGUACAUCGAUUCGCUCCACGUUGCGUACAUCAACCAAUUAGACGAAGAAGAGUGAUACGAAGAAAAAGGAAAGGGUUUCUCAAUGUGCACAGAUCUAAAACGAUCGGAGCAAACAUCACGAUGAUUUCCGGCCUCCAACAGCUCCGUUAGAGAGAUACAUGACAUUCCCUUUCCCAUCGGACAGGCAGCAGCGGCAGCAGACGUUUCUCCCGUUUGCUUCUCAUAUUCUCACGACUGAAGAUAACUUCGAUUAUUUAUUCAAAAUCGUAUUGAUCGGUGAUUGCAGUACGGGAAAAACAUGCGUCGUCCAAAGAUUCAGAUCGGGCACAUUUAUCGAACGUCACGGAACUACUAUCGGAGUCGAUUUUUCAAUGAAAACCGUUUUAGUCGAUGGAAAGAGGGUCAAGCUGCAAAUAUGGGAUACUGCGGGACAUGAAAAAUUCCGUACCAUAACUCAAAGUUACUAUCGAUCCGCUAAUGGCAUAAUCGUGGUGUACGACAUAACGAAGAGGUCGAGUUUUUUGAGUCUACAAAGAUGGAUCGAGGAGGUACGACGGUACACGUCCUCUCACGUGGUAUUGAUUUUAGUAGGCAAUAAAUGCGACCUCGAAGGAUUACGGGAGGUUGAGAAAGAAGAAGCCCAGGCGGUUUGCAAAUGUCUUCCCGAAAUAUUGCACGUCGUUGAAACUUCAGCCAAAGAAAAUACAAAUAUAGAUACAAUUUUUUAUUGCAUGGCCUCCGAGCUCAAGGUAAAUUGAACACUGAAAUUACCAUUCGAUCGAAAUAUGUGGACCGAUGAUCAAGAAUAACUUCAUUUUGCACUCUGAAAUGGGAGAAAUUUCGUAUGUUCGAAGCGGCAUGAGAACCGUCAGCUCAAAGUUAACGACGAGGACGUUGUUAAGCUCGGUAGUGGUCGAGAAUUGAGGCCGUGUUCAGGUUGCCCGUAUAGAAUGUCAUGAUAAUCAAUUUUUUCUUUUAUUUUUUUUUUUUUUUUAUCGCGUAACACACAAUACUCGCAUCGGAUCACAAGUCGUUUUCCCUUUUAGUAUUAUUUGGAAAGUGUGAUAGAGAGAUUUCCAGUGGCCCGGGUAUCGAUUCGAAUAUUCCUUGAUCAAAAUUCAAUUAGUUUCUUCUUUAUAUAAUCUUGAAGAUACAAAACCUCAAAAAUAUUUCUCGUGUAUAUAUCACCAGCAGCACAACCAUGAUUGCUGUUUUUUAAAAAUACUCACAAGAUAUUAACGUUCUCAUGAACUAUUUGAAUCGUCAUUUACCAGCUGCAUUCAUAUUCGUUUGCUCCAUUUUAUUUAAAAACUAUGUCUCUAGAACUCGAUGCUAAUUUGUUUUGACCGUAUACAAGAGGCAAACAUUGAUGAAACGAUGAAUUUUUGUGGAACAGCUGAAUUUAUUGUGAGUCGAAGAAUCGUUGCACAAUAACGCAGAAUCUCCGGGAUAUUUUUCAUCGAGUUUUUUCUAAUGAACAAAUUGGCUCGAUAUUUUAUGGCUUUGGUAUUGAGGGGUUCAGUUAAAAAUAGUUGUUCCGAUUAAAACUUAUAUCCGAGGAAUAAAAAAGCACCUUGGAACUUGGAACAAAUCUCGAUCCAUGAAAUCUCUGACCCAAGUGUAAAUUAUUCCUUCGAUUGAUUUUAUUGUAGAAAAUAAUCAUGGACCAUGCACGCACAUGUUAUUUUCGACGUAUUUAUUUACUUUGUUACCAACUGUUACGAUUGGUAAAAACUUUGUAUAAUAUUAAGAUUUUCUUACCUGUUUUUAACUCCCGACUGCCCGCAAGGCCAAAAAGACGGGAAUUAUGUGUUUCGUUAUUUAUGCACUUGCAGGAUAACAAUUUCAUUUGAAUGUUAAAUUGCUGAUUAGGGUUGUUACAAAAAUGAACACAUUUUUAUCUCCGCUUAUCGUCUUACCAAGAGGCCAAGAGGCAGGCCGCGUAGCUCAAAAUUGGAAGGUGGCCGAGACUAUUUUUCGUAUUUUUUUUUUCUCACCAUUAUUGUGAAAAAAAAUCAAGUCCCCGCAGUAAAUUGAUGGCUCAGAAAAUUAACAAUUAUUUUCAAACAUCUCGUUUUCAUCCAAGUACGUGUAUGAAUGUGUAAAAGAACUGUUGAAAGCCUUCAGAUUUCGAAUAUCAAUAUUCGUUUAUCAUUCAGAAGGUAUUUUUCGUCGAUUUGAAAGUUCACCGAUAUUUAUUAUAUUGAUGGAGCAUAUAUUUGAAUAACAGCUAAAACUUUUGAACGAAAUGAUGUUUACGAGAUUGAAAUGGAUUGCAGUAUAGAUAACUCGAACGGUGUGUAUCUGAUUCGCAAAACGCUCCACUCCUGCAAUCACGCCGACAAUCACACCAGCGAGAAAUACCUUCUGGAUGUCUAAAAAGUAUUGGGAUCCAAAGUAUGAAACGAUUUAUAUUUAUAUAUAGUUAGAUAUGAAAUAUAAAUAAGAUAUUUCAAAUUGAUUGUACAAGAAAUGUCAUCGAAAUACUACGAAAUUUUUAUUUUUCGCAUAUAAUGGCAAAGAAAAUAUAAAAGUGACCUUUCCCACUGAUAUGCUAAUUUGUGUAAACGAAAUGCGCGUUGAUGUAUUCUCUUUGUUCACUGUAAAACAUUGUUGCUUUGCAUUACAUGACAACUCGGAAGAAAAAUCUUUUUUACCAUAAUGAAUUUAUUUUUAGUGGUAAUUUUGUAGAGAACCGAGAUACCCUUGAAAAAUAUUGUGCGAAUCGAAUACGCGACUUCGUUUUUAAAAAUAACGAUAAACUUUCCGAAGAGGACGUUAUGCUAUCGAUCGUUGAGUCAUACCGACCAUUUAUCUAUAUUCGAAUUGAAACGGAUUCAAUUGAAAUGAAUAAAUAAUAGAGAGAAUUUUUCAUGGCUCAGAGUAAUAUAAUAAAGAUUAAUAAUAAAUGAUUCAGAUCGACGGGUUGAAAGGAUUGUCAAAAAAUAAUAACAACAUUUGUAUGCAAUAAACAAUAUUUAUUCACCGAAAA